GUGCUCUCUUCAGCAGCACAUAUACUAAAAUUGGAAUGAUACAGACAGGAUUAGCAUGGCCCCUGUGCAAGGAUGACGUGCAAAUUUGUGAAGCGUUCCAUAUUUUU
ensembl:snRNA U6 U6 spliceosomal RNA